rnacentral:rRNA from 1 species
GACAGAGGGUGCAAACGUUGUUCGGAAUUACUGGGCGUAAAGCGUGUGUAGGCGGCUUUGCAAGUCGGAUGUGAAAGCCCCGGGCUCAACCCGGGAAGUGCACUCGAUACUGCAGAGCUUGAGUGUCGGAGAGGUUGGUGGAAUUCUCGGUGUAGAGGUGAAAUUCGUAGAUAUCGAGAGGAACACCGGCGGCGAAGGCGGGUUGCUGGGCUGACACUGACGCUGAGGCGCGAAAGCUAGGGGAGCGAACGGG